CAGUAGCCGCGGUAAUACGAAGGGUGCAAGCGUUAAUCGGAAUUACUGGGCGUAAAGCGUGCGUAGGCGGUGAGUUAAGUCUGCUGUGAAAUCCCCGGGCUCAACCUGGGAAUGGCAGUGGAUACUGGCAAGCUAGAGUGUGUCAGAGGAUGGUGGAAUUCCCGGUGUAGCGGUGAAAUGCGUAGAGAUCGGGAGGAACAUCAGUGGCGAAGGCGGCCAUCUGGGACAACACUGACGCUGAGGCACGAAAGCGUGGGGAGCAAACAGGAUUAGAGACCCCUGUAGUCCCUGUCUCUUAUAA
rnacentral:rRNA from 1 species